rnacentral:rRNA from 1 species
AGAACGAACGCUGGCGGCAUGCCUAAUACAUGCAAGUCGAACGAACUCUUCGGAGUUAGUGGCGCACGGGUGCGUAACGCGUGGGAAUCUGCCCCUUGGUUCGGAAUAACAGUUGGAAACGACUGCUAAUACCGGAUGAUGACGAAAGUCCAAAGAUUUAUCGCCAAGGGAUGAGCCCGCGUAGGAUUAGCUAGUUGGUGAGGUAAAGGCUCACCAAGGCAACGAUCCUUAGCUGGUCUGAGAGGAUGAUCAGCCACACUGGGACUGAGACACGGCCCAGACUCCUACGGGAGGCAGCAGUAGGGAAUAUUGGACAAAUGGGCGAAAGCCUGAUCCAGCAAUGCCGCGUGAGUGAUGAAGGCCUUAGGGUUGUAAAGCUCUUUACCCGAGAUGAUAAUGACAGUAUCGGAGAAUAAGCCCCGGCUAACUCCGCGCCCAGCAG